GGGGGUGUGGCUCAGUGGUUGAGCGCUUGCCUUGAAUGUGUGAGGCACUGGGUUUGAUCCCAGCACCACAU
rnacentral:tRNA from 1 species